rnacentral:rRNA from 1 species
UGAGUAACCUGCCCUUAACUCUGGGAUAAGCCUGGGAAACUGGGUCUAAUACCGGAUAUGACUCCUCAUCGCAUGGUGGGGGGUGGAAAGCUUUAUUGUGGUUUUGGAUGGACUCGCGGCCUAUCAGCUUGUUGGUGAGGUAAUGGCUCACCAAGGCGACGACGGGUAGCCGGCCUGAGAGGGUGACCGGCCACACUGGGACUGAGACACGGCCCAAACUCCUACGGGAGGCGG